rnacentral:rRNA from 1 species
GAUGAACGCUGACAGAAUGCUUAACACAUGCGAGUCAACUUGAACUUCGGUUUGGGUGGCGGACGGGUGAGUAACGCGUAAAGAACUUGCCUCACAGAUAGGGACAACAUUUGGAAACGAAUGCUAAUACCUGAUAUUAUGAUUAUAUGGCAUCGUAUAAUUAUGAAAGCUAUAUGCGCUGUGAGAGAGCUUUGCGUCCCAUUAGCUAGUUGGAGAGGUAACGGCUCACCAAGGCGAUGAUGGGUAGCCGGCCUGAGAGGGUGAUCGGCCACAAGGGGACUGAGACACGGCCCUUACUCCUACGGGAGGCAGCAGUGGGGAAUAUUGGACAAUGGACCAAGAGUCUGAUCCAGCAAUUCUGUGUGCACGAUGAAGUUUUUCGGAAUGUAAAGUGCUUUCAGUUGGGAAGAAAAAAAUGACGGUACCAACAGAAGAAGUGACGGCUAAAUACGUG